rnacentral:rRNA from 1 species
GAUGAACGCUGGCGGCGUGCCUAAUACAUGCAAGUCGAGCGAACAGACGAGGAGCUUGCUCCUCUGACGUUAGCGGCGGACGGGUGAGUAACACGAGGAUAACCUACCUAUAAGACUGGGAUAACUUCGGGAAACUGGAGCUAAUACCGGAUAAUAUAUUGAACCGCAUGGUUCAAUAGUGAAAGACGGUUUUGCUGUCACUUAUAGAUGGAUCCGCGCCGCAUUAGCUAGUUGGUAAGGUAACGGCUUACCAAGGCAACGAUGCGUAGCCGACCUGAGAGGGUGAUCGGCCACACUGGAACUGAGACACGGUCCAGACUCCUACGGGAGGCAGCAGUAGGGAAUCUUCCGCAAUGGGCGAAAGCCUGACGGAGCAACGCCGCGUGAGUGAUGAAGGUCCUCGGAUCGUAAAACUCUGUUAUUAGGGAAGAACAAAUGUGUAAGUAACUAUGCACGUCUUGACGGUACCUAAUCAGAAAGCCACGGCUAACUACGUG